rnacentral:rRNA from 1 species
GAGUUUGAUUCCCUGCUCAGGAUGAACGCUGGCGGCGUGCUUAACACAUGCAAGUCGAACGAUGAAGCUGGUGCUUGCACUGGUGGAUUAGUGGCGAACGGGUGAGUAUCACGUGAGUAACCUUCCCUUGACUCUGGGAUAAGCCCGGGAAACUGGGUCUAAUACCGGAUAUGACCGGCCUCCGCAUGGGGUGCUGGUGGAAAGCUUUUGCGGUUUUGGAUGGACUCGCGGCCUAUCAGUUUGUUGGUGAGGUAAUGGCUCACCAAGGCGAUGACGGGUAGCCGGCCUGAGAGGGUGACCGGCCACACUGGGACUGAGACACGGCCCAGACUCCUACGGGAGGCAGCAGUGGGGAAUAUUGCACAAUGGGCGCAAGCCUGAUGCAGCGACGCCGCGUGCGGGAUGACGGCCUUCGGGUUGUAAACCGCUUUCAGCAAGGAAGAAGCUUUUUGGACGGACUUC